AAACUCAAAGGAAUUGACGGGUCCCCCGCACAAGCGGCGGAGCAUGCGGCUUAAUUCGAUGCAACCCGAAGAACCUUACCUGGGCUUGACAUCAUGGGAAAAGCCGUAGAGAUACGGUGUGCAUUAGCGUCCAUGACAGGUGGUGCAUGGCUGUCGUCAGCUCGUGUCGUGAGAUGUUGGGUUAAGUCCCGCAACGAGCGCAACCCUUGUCCUAUGUUGCCAGCGGUUCGGCCGGGGACUCAUAGGAGACUGCCGGGGACAACUCGGAGGAAGGUGAGGACGACGUCAAGUCAUCAUGCCCCUUAUGUCCAGGGCUGCACGCAUGCUACAAUGGCCGGUACAACGGGCUGCGAUCCCGCGAGGGUGAGCGAAUCCCUUAAAGCCGGCCUCAGUUCGGAUUGGAGUCUGCAACUCGACUCCAUGAAGUCGGAGUCGCUAGUAAUCGCGGAUCAGCAAAGCCGCGGUGAAUGCGUUCUCGGGGAUU
rnacentral:rRNA from 1 species